GAGAACGUCCUCGUGGCCGUAUAGCUUCAGGAUCACGUUCGUGAAUCUCGCAAACGGUCGCUCGAGACAAUCGCAAGCUAGGAGCGCACGUCCGCAACAAGUCUCUACGUUGUGUCAGCAACCGACGCGACGCAUCAAGGUCUCCCGUUCCACUUUGCCGAAAUGGCCGGUGUCAAGCGAAGGGCCGGGAUUCCUCUGUCCUGGAGCCUCGUCCUUGCGAUGGCAGCAGCCUCGAUCGUCGCCAUCGCAGAAGCUCAGCCCGUGCAAGAGAGCUCUUCUGCUCGAAUGAAAUACUUCCUCAACCUCAAACGCCAAGGCAAGCAGGUUGAGCAUCUCAUACGAGAGUUGAACACCCUCACCGAAGAACUCAAAGCCAAGGACCCUGACGCAAUGAGAUUCCAAAUAUGUCCCCCGCUGCGACUACCAGGACAGGCCGACUGCAUAUUCCUGAGCGAACCAGUCGUGAGCUACAAAGAUCUCGAGGAGCUUGGACGCCGAUGAGCGAGGACGCUGUAAGCCACGGGCGCAGCGGACAGGAUACCCCGAAUCAUCAAGUGACGUUGGCGCUCCCGAAGUGGAAAAGUCCUUUCCGAAAUAUGAUGCGACCGCGUGGUUCUGCAUUCAGAUGAAACUCUGAGAGAGUGCCCAAAGUCCUCGAAGACCAGAAGAAGGCUCGUAGGAU
rnacentral:misc_RNA from 1 species